rnacentral:rRNA from 1 species
UACGGAGGGUGCAAGCGUUGUCCGGAUUUAUUGGGUUUAAAGGGUGCGUAGGCGGCUAUUUAAGUCAGUGGUGAAAUCCUGCAGCUUAACUGUAGAAUUGCCAUUGAUACUGGAUAGCUUGAGUACAGACGAGGUAGGCGGAAUUUAUGGUGUAGCGGUGAAAUGCAUAGAUACCAUAAAGAACCCCUAUUGCGAAGGCAGCUUACUAGGCUGUAACUGACGCUGAGGCACGAAAAGCGUGGGGAUCAAACAGG